CUUUGUCUAUGAGUGAAAGUAUUAAUUUUCGAAUGGUUUUGGAUGGAAACGUAAUGUUCAUUCCUUCAUGACAGUGUAUCAAAUCAGGAGAAUUAAGCGAAAUUUUCCUUAAUAAAAUUAUAUUUAAUUUAUAAAAAUUAUAGAAAUCAUUAAUAUAAGAUUAAUAUUAAGAUUAUCAAUGCGAUAAAAAUUUAUUUUCAACUGUGUUAGUAAUUUUAUAUACAUAUAUAUAAUAAAAUCUGAAACGCCACUGCACGUUAAUUUUAUCAUGAAUACAUAAUUAAUGUUUGUUCAUGAAAUGCGUAUUAAACGAUACGUCAGUACAAGUGUUUAAUUAUAAAUUUUACUUGCAAUUGAAGUUUACUUUUAAAUUAAGAUAACCAUUGUGACAAAGUAUUGUUUGUACACCCAAACAUAAAAGCGAUAAUCAAUAAAAAGAUGAUUAAGUUUUUGUUAACUUUUAGCGUUGGAGUUUAUGCUGGUAUAUACAUAAGUCAGAAUUAUGAGGUACCUCGAGUAGAUGAACCAGCUAAAAUAAUAGAACGAAUAAAGAAAUUUGCAGAUGAAUACAAAAAGAAA